rnacentral:lncRNA from 1 species
CAAAGUUUUUCAAUCUGGCGAAGUGGCUUUAGUUUAUUCAUCAAUCUAAUGGUUGUGUGUGUAAAUUCAAUCCCAGCGCUCCCAACACUUGCUUUUGCUUCAAAAUGCAGAACCCAGAUAGAAAUAAAUCAAAUGCAUGCAAGUUUAAUUACCACAGGGCAGUUAAAAAAUCCGUGUUUGACCACAAAAAUAAUUCUUGAUUUUGCUAUUUCAAAACACGAACCCCUCGUUAAUUUUGCAAGAUACCUCUUUUUUAAACAAAAUUGUAAAGACCCUUUUAUUUGGAAUUUAAUUAUUAAAUCUUAUUCUCA